AUCCCCUGGGGAUCUUGUUACAAUGCAGAUUCUGAUUUCUGUAGUUCUGGGGUCUAGAUGAGAUUCUGCAUUUCUAACAAGCUCCCUGUUGAUGC
rnacentral:miRNA from 14 species